UACGAAGGGGGCUAGCGUUGCUCGGAAUCACUGGGCGUAAAGCGCACGUAGGCGGCUUCUUAAGUCAGGGGUGAAAUCCUGGAGCUCAACUCCAGAACUGCCUUUGAUACUGGGAGGCUCGAGUCCGGGAGAGGUGAGUGGAACUGCGAGUGUAGAGGUGAAAUUCGUAGAUAUUCGCAAGAACACCAGUGGCGAAGGCGGCUCACUGGCCCGGUACUGACGCUGAGGCACGAAAGCGUGGGGAGCAAACAGGG
rnacentral:rRNA from 1 species